UGGGUCGGCAAGACGGUCGCGUCAUCUGCGGUUCCGCAAGGAAGCCCGCGGAUGCCGAGGAACGUCCGGGCUCCACAGGGCAGGGCGGUGGGUAACACCCACCCGGAGCAAUCCGCGAGACAGUGCAACAGAGAGUAAACCGCCCGGGGUCCGCCCCGGGUAAGGGUGAAACGGUGGUGUAAGAGACCACCAGCGAUUCGGGUGACCGAUCGGCUAGGUAAACCUCGCCCGGAGCAAGGUCAGACAGGGAACGCUUGAGGCUGCCCGCCGAGUUCCCGGGUAGACCGCUGGAGGGCUGCGGCAACGUAGUCCCGAGAUAGAUGGCCGUCACCCGCUCCCAGCCGCAAGGCUGGGAACGGGGACAGAACCCGGCGUACCAGCCGGCCCAUUCG
rnacentral:RNase_P_RNA from 1 species